rnacentral:rRNA from 1 species
AGCGUAGGUGGAACUUUAAGUCGGACUUAAAAGUGCGGGGCUCAACCCCGUGAUGGGUCCGAAACUGGAGUUCUUGAGUGUAGGAGAGGAAAGCGGAAUUCCCAGUGUAGCGGUGAAAUGCGUAGAUAUUGGGAGGAACACCAGUGGCGAAGGCGGCUUUCUGGACUAUAACUGACACUGAGGCUCGAAAGCCAGGGGAGUGAACG